AUUUACACAUACUAUACUGACGGCAUCUUCAUUUCGAUAUACAUUUGUAAGGGAACUGUGGGACGGCAUUCCAAACUCCUUACGUACAGCUGCAACCGAAACCAUUGGCAGAGAUAAAGAGAUGUUUAACUCCUCUCUUGAGAGAGCAAUUGCUAUACGUCAAAACCUACUGAACUUUGACAGCUAAUCGAGUUCAGUAGGUUUUGACGUUUUUCAAUUGGAAACGAGCGAUGGCCAGAUUGAAAUCUUACCAAAAAAAUGUGUUAACGGAGGGAUUUGUUGCAACGUUCAAGACCACUUAUAAAAAAUGUAAAACAAUGAAAAUUAAAUAAAUUUGUGAAAUUUAAAGGUA